CGCCUCUUGAAAAACCCAUAAGAGGUCCAGCCUGCCCAGUGACUCUGUUCAACGGCCGCGGUAUCCUAACCGUGCGAAGGUAGCGUAAUCACUUGUUCUUUAAAUGAGGACUAGUAUGAAUGGCACCACGAAGGUUAUACUGUCUCCUUCCUCUAAUCAGUGAAACUAAUCUUCCCGUGAAGAAGCGGGGAUAAACCUAUAAGACGAGAAGACCCUAUGGAGCUUUAAACAUAGUAAUAAAUGCCCUCCCCCCUUUUCUAUUCAAAUCUCCGGAGAACUACUUUAUUUGAGCAUCCUAAUUACAAGUUUUAGGUUGGGGUGACCGCGGAGUAAAAAAUAACCUCCACAGUGAAUGGGAUCUUCCCCUAAACUCAGGGCCACAACCCUAAAAAUCAAUAAAUUGACACCCAUUGACCCAAUAUUUGAUCAAUGAACCAAGUUACCCUAGGGAUAACAGCGCAAUCCACUUCAAGAGCUCCUAUCGACAAGUGGGUUUACGACCUCGAUGUUGGAUCAGGGUACCCCAGUGGUGCAGCCGCUGCUAAAGGUUCGUUUGUUCAACGAUUAAAACCCUA
rnacentral:rRNA from 1 species